AGAGUUUAAUCCUGGCUCAGGAUGAACGCUGGCGGCGUGCUUAACACAUGCAAGUCGAACGAUCCUUCGGGAUAGUGGCGGACGGGUGAGUAACGCGUGGGAAUCUGCCCUCAGGAGGGGGAUAACGGCUGGAAACGGCCGCUAAUACCCCAUAUGCCGAGAGGUGAAAUGAAUUUCGCCUGAGGAUGAGCCCGCGUCUGAUUAGCUAGUUGGUGGGGUAAAGGCCUACCAAGGCAACGAUCAGUAGCUGGUCUGAGAGGAUGAUCAGCCACACUGGGACUGAGACACGGCCCAGACUCCUACGGGAGGCAGCAGUGGGGAAUUUUCCGCAAUGGGCGAAAGCCUGACGGAGCAACGCCGCGUGAGGGAUGAAGGCCUCUGGGCUGUAAACCUCUUUUCUCAAGGAAGAAGACCUGACGGUACUUGAGGAAUAAGCCACGGCUAAUUCCGUGCCAGCAGCCGCGGUAAUACGGGAGUGGCAAGCGUUAUCCGGAAUUAUUGGGCGUAAAGCGUCCGCAGGCGGCCUUGUAAGUCUGUUGUUAAAGCGUGGAGCUCAACUCCAUUUAAGCAAUGGAAACUACAAGGCUGGAGUGUGGUAGGGGCAGAGGGAAUUCCCGGUGUAGCGGUGAAAUGCGUAGAUAUCGGGAAGAACACCAGUGGCGAAGGCGCUCUGCUGGGCCAUAACUGACGCUCAUGGACGAAAGCCAGGGGAGCGAAAGGGAUUAGAUACCCCUGUAGUCCUGGCCGUAAACAAUGAACACUAGGUGUCGGGGGAAUCGACCCCCUCGGUGUCGUAGCAACGCGUUAAGUGUUCCGCCUGGGGAGUACGCACGCAAGUGUGAAACUCAAAGGAAUUGACGGGGGCCCGCACAAGCGGUGGAGUAUGUGGUUUAAUUCGAUGCAACGCGAAGAACCUUACCAGGGUUUGACAUCCUGCGAACCCCUGAGAAAUCGGGGGGUGCCUUCGGGAGCGCAGAGACAGGUGGUGCAUGGCUGUCGUCAGCUCGUGUCGUGAGAUGUUGGGUUAAGUCCCGCAACGAGCGCAACCCACGUCUUUAGUUGCCAGCAUUCAGUUGGGCACUCUAGAGAGACCGCUGGUGAUAAACCGGAGGAAGGUGUGGAUGACGUCAAGUCAUCAUGCCCCUCACAUCCUGGGCUACACACGUACUACAAUGCUACGGACAAAGGGCAGCAAGCUCGCGAGAGUUAGCAAAUCCCAUAAACCGUGGCUCAGUUCAGAUCGUAGGCUGCAACUCGCCUACGUGAAGGAGGAAUCGCUAGUAAUCGCAGGUCAGCAUACUGCGGUGAAUACGUUCCCGGGCCUUGUACACACCGCCCGUCACACCAUGGAAGUUGGC
rnacentral:rRNA from 1 species